CAGUCGCCACGGUAAUACGGAGGGUGCAAGCGUUAAUUGGAAUUACUGGGCGUAAAGCGCACGCAGGCGGUCUGUCAAGUCAGAUGUGAAAUCCCCGGGCUCAACCUGGGAACUGCAUUUGUGACUGUAUAGCUAGAGUACGGCAGAGGGGGAUGGAAUUCCGCGUGUAGCAGUGAAAUGCGUAGAUAUGCGGAGGAACACCGAUGGCGAAGGCAAUCCCCUGGGCCUGUACUGACGCUCAUGCACGAAAGCGUGGGGAGCAAACAGGAUUAGAUACCCCCGAGUCCCUGUCUCUUAUACC
rnacentral:rRNA from 1 species